AUUGAACGCUGGCGGCAGGCCUAACACAUGCAAGUCGAGCGAGCGGCGGACGGGUGAGUAAUGUCUCGGAAACUGCCUGACGGAGGGGGAUAACUACUGGAAACGGUAGCUAAUACUGCAUACCAUCAGAUGUGCCCAGAUGGGAGUAGCUAGUAGGUGGGGUAACGGCCCACCACCGCGACGCUCCCUAGCUGGUCUGAGAGGAUGACCAGCCACACUGGAACGUAGACACGGUCCAGACUCCUACGGGAGGCAGCAGUGGGGAAUAUUGGACAAGGGGCGCAAGCCUGAUGCAGCCAUGCCGCGGGUGUGAAGAAGGCCUUCGGGUUGUAAAGCACUUUCAGCGGGGAGGCGUUACCCGCAGAAGAAGCACCGGCUAACUCCGUGCCAGCAGCCGCGGUAAUAC
rnacentral:rRNA from 1 species